ensembl:snRNA LOC120100479 U6atac minor spliceosomal RNA
GUGUUGUAUAAAAGGCAACUGACUGUUCCUUAGCAUUUCCUUUGACAUGGACAGAAAAGGCUCUUGGGCCUUACAAUAAAUUGGUGAUUAAGGCAUUGCCAUUUAAUUAUGGUGAUAU